UGGGGAAUAUUGGACAAUGGGGGCAACCCUGAUCCAGCGAUGCCGCGUGGGUGAAGAAGGCCUUCGGGUUGUAAAGCCCUUUAGGUUGGGAAGAAGUGCAUAGGGUAAAUAAUCCUGUGUAUUGACGGUACCGACAGAAUAAGCACCGGCAAACUCUGUGCCAGCAGCCGCGGUAAUACAGAGGGUGCGAGCGUUAAUCGGAUUUACUGGGCGUAAAGGGCGCGUAGGCGGUGUAAUGAGUGGGAUGUGAAAGCCCCGGGCUUAACCUGGGAAGUGCAUGCCAAACGAUUACACUAGAGUAUAAGAGAGGGUGGCGGAAUUUCCGGUGUAGCGGUGAAAUGCGUAGAGAUCGGAAGGAACGUCAAUGGCGAAGGCAGCCACCUGGCUUAAUACUGACGCUGAGGCGCGAAAGCGUGGGGAUCAAACAGG
rnacentral:rRNA from 1 species